UUUACAACCGCUCAUACUAGGGUUUAAGUAUAAGAAAUUAUCACCUUAUGUGGCGAGUCUUAAAAUAAA
rnacentral:sRNA from 1 species